rnacentral:rRNA from 1 species
AUUGAACGCUGGCGGCAUGCCUUACACAUGCAAGUCGAACGGUAACAGGUCUUCGGAUGCUGACGAGUGGCGAACGGGUGAGUAAUACAUCGGAACGUGCCUAGUAGUGGGGGAUAACUACUCGAAAGAGUGGCUAAUGCCGCAUGAGAUCUACGGAUGAAAGCAGGGGAUCGCAAGACCUUGUGCUACUAGAGCGGCCGAUGGCGGAUUAGGUAGUUGGUGGGAUAAAAGCUUACCAAGCCGACAAGCUGUAGCUGGUCUGAAAGGACGAGCGGCCACACUGGAACUGAGACACGGCCCAGACUCCUACGGGAGGAAGCAGUGGGGAAUUUUGGACAAUGGGCGCAAGCCUGAUCCAGCAAUGCCGCGUGCAGGAGGAAGGCCUUCGGGUUGUAAACUGCUUUUGUACGGAACGAAAAGCCCCGGGUUAAUACCCUGGGGUCAUGACGGUACCGUAAGAAUAAGCACCGGCUAACUACGUGCCAGCCGCCGCCGUAA